rnacentral:rRNA from 1 species
AUAUUGGUCAAUGGACGCAAGUCUGAACCAGCCAUGUCGCGUGCAGGACGACUGCCCUAUGGGUUGUAAACUGCUUUUAUAUUGGAAGAAUUGCGCUUACGAGUUAAGCGUUUGACGGUACAUUAUGAAUAAGGAUCGGCUAACUCCGUGCCAGCAGCCGCGGUAAUACGGAGGAUCCGAGCGUUAUCCGGAUUUAUUGGGUUUAAAGGGUGCGUAGGCGGAAAUGUAAGUCAGUGGUGAAAUCCUGCAGCUUAACUGUAGAAUAGCCGUUGAAACUGUGUUUCUUGAGUACAUUUGAGGUAGGCGGAAUGUGGUGUGUAGCGGUGAAAUGCAUAGAUAUACCACAGAACACCGAUUGCGAAGGCAGCUUACUAAACUGUCACUGACGCUGAUGCACGAAAGCGUGGGUAUCAAACAGG